UAAGUACCGAAGCUGUAGACCCAAGCCUAGCUUGGGUGGUAGGAGAGCGUUCUAUAGGCGUUGAAGAUGUACCGGUAAGGAGCGUUGGAGCGUAUAGAAGUGAGCAUGCAGGCAUGAGUAGCGAUAAUUAAUGUGAGAAUCAUUAACGCCGUAAACCCAAGGUUUCCUACGCGAUGCUCGUCAUCGUAGGGUUAGUCGGGUCCUAAGCAAAGUCCGAAAGGGGUAUGCGAUGGAAAAUUGGUUAAUAUUCCAAUACCAACAUUAUUGUGCGAUGGAAGGACGCUUAGGGCUAAGCAAGCUAGCGGAUGGAAGUGCUAGUCUAAGGUAGUAGGUUGUUAUACAGGCAAAUCCGUAUAACAUUAGACCGAGAACUGAAAGGCUUUCUGAAGUCUUCGGAUGGAAGGAAGAAUUGCUGAUGCCGUCGAGCCAAGAAAAGUUUCUAAGUUUAGAUAAUGUUGCCCGUACCGUAAACCGACACAGGUGGGUGGGAUGAGUAUUCUAAGGCGCGUGGAAGAACUCUCUUUAAGGAACUCUGCAAAAUAGCACCGUAUCUUCGGUAUAAGGUGUGGUUAGCCUUGUAUUAGGAUUUACUCCGAAAGCAAGGAAACUUACAACAAAGAGUCCCUCCCGACUGUUUACCAAAAACACAGCACUCUGCUAACACGUAAGUGGAUGUAUAGGGUGUGACGCCUGCCCGGUGCUCGAAGGUUAAUUGAUGGGGUCAGCAGCAA
rnacentral:rRNA from 1 species